GACGAACGCUGGCGGCGUGCUUAACACAUGCAAGUCGAACGGAAAGGCCCUGCUUUUGUGGGGUGCUCGAGUGGCGAACGGGUGAGUAACACGUGAGUAACCUGCCCUUGACUUUGGGAUAACUUCAGGAAACUGGGGCUAAUACCGGAUAGGAGCUCCUGCUGCAUGGGGGGGGUUGGAAAGUGUCGGCGGUUGGGGAUGGACUCGCGGCUUAUCAGCUUGUUGGUGGGGUAGUGGCUUACCAAGACUUUGACGGGUAGCCGGCCUGAGAGGGUGACCGGCCACAUUGGGCCUGAGAUACGGCCCAGACUCCUACGGGCGGCAGCAGUGGGGAAUAUUGCACAAUGGGCGGAAGCCUGAUGCAGCAACGCCGCGUGCGGGAUGACGGCCUUCGGGUUGUAAACCGCUUUCGCCUGUGACGAAGCGUGAGUGACGGUAAUGGGUAAAGAAGCACCGGCUAACUACGUG
rnacentral:rRNA from 1 species